GCUGGUGUUGCCCAGUGGUUAGAGUAUUGGUCCACUCACCGAAGGGUCACAGGUUCAAUUCCUGAUCAAGAGCA
rfam:Myotis lucifugus cont2.52284, whole genome shotgun sequence.